GGUGGACGCUGGCGGUAGGCCUAACACAUGCAAGUCGAACGGCAGCACAGUAAGAGCUUGCUCUUACGGGUGGCGAGUGGCGGACGGGUGAGGAAUACAUCGGAAUCUACUUUUUCGUGGGGGAUAACGUAGGGAAACUUACGCUAAUACCGCAUACGACCUACGGGUGAAAGCAGGGGAUCUUCGGACCUUGCGCGAUUGAAUGAGCCGAUGUCGGAUUAGCUAGUUGGCGGGGUAAAGGCCCACCAAGGCGACGAUCCGUAGCUGGUCUGAGAGGAUGAUCAGCCACACUGGAACUGAGACACGGUCCAGACGCCUACGGGAGGCAGCAGUGGGGAAUAUUGGACAAUGGGCGCAAGCCUGAUCCAGCCAUACCGCGUGGGUGAAGAAGGCCUUCGGGUUGUAAAGCCCUUUUGUUGGGAAAGAAAAGCAGCAGGUUAAUACCCCGCUGUUCUGACGGUACCCAAAGAAUAAGCACCGGCUAACUUCGUG
rnacentral:rRNA from 1 species